rnacentral:rRNA from 1 species
UACGUAGGGCGCAAGCGUUGUCCGGAAUUAUUGGGCGUAAAGAGCUCGUAGGCGGUUUAUCGCGUCUGCUGUGAAAGCCCGGGGCUCAACCCCGGGUCUGCAGUGGGUACGGGCAGGCUAGAGUUCGGUAGGGGAGACUGGAAUUCCUGGUGUAGCGGUGAAAUGCGCAGAUAUCAGGAGGAACACCGGUGGCGAAGGCGGGUCUCUGGGCCGAUACUGACGCUGAGGAGCGAAAGCGUGGGGAGCGAACAGG